rnacentral:lncRNA from 1 species
GGAGCUGGCUCAGUCCUACAACCGGGAUGCCGCAGGGACCGGCCGGGGUGGGGCUACCGUUUGUCUAGCGUCCGGCAGAAGUCCGUUCUCAUCCAGCCAGGGGCGGCUUCAGCAAGCAGUUGGGGCAGCUAGAGGUAAACCCUGCUUCGCGCCGAGCGCCGGCUGGGCUGGAGGACAGCUGCGCCCCAGGAGGCACGCGGGGGCUCAGGAGGCGGGUCGAGGGCUGUGGUGGCGGCGUCAUCGAGCCCGGAUCAUCCCCAGUACCUUCCCGGAGGGCGACGUAGGGUGGGGCCCGCGGCUCUGCAACUCGAUCUGCGGCCCUAGUUAAAAAUACCCCUUGCCCUACCCUCUCUCUGGCCGGCGGUGCCCUUCUAUCCCAGUCUAACCCUCCUCACCCGG